UACGUAGGGGGGCGAGCGUUAUCCGGAUUUACUGGGCGUAAAGCGCGUUAAGGCGGUCGGCAAAGUUGGUUGUGAAAUCUCAGGGCUCAACCCUGAAAUUGCGACCAAUACUGGUCGACUAGAGUGCAAGAGAGGAAGGUCGGAAUUCCCGGUGUAGUAGUAGAAAUGCGUAGAUAUCGGGAGGAACACCAGUGGCCGAAGGCGG
rnacentral:rRNA from 1 species